rnacentral:rRNA from 1 species
UACAGAGGUGGCAAGCGUUGUUCGGAAUUACUGGGCGUAAAGGGCGCGUAGGCGGCCUUCUAAGUCAGACGUGAAAUCCCCCGGCUUAACCUGGGAACUGCGUCUGAUACUGGGAGGCUAGAGUAUGGGAGAGGGAUGUAGAAUUCCAGGUGUAGCGGUGGAAUGCGUAGAGAUCCGGAAGAACACCGGUGGCGAAGGCGGCCUGCUGGGCAGUUGCUGACACUGAGGCGCGACAGCGUGGGGAGCAAACAGG